rnacentral:rRNA from 1 species
GUGGAUUAGAUACCCGGGUAGUCCACGCCCUAAACGAUGUCUACUAGUUGUCGGGUCUUAAUUGACUUGGUAACGCAGCUAACGCGUGAAGUAGACCGCCUGGGGAGUACGGUCGCAAGAUUAAAACUCAAAGGAAUUGACGGGGACCCGCACAAGCGGUGGAUGAUGUGGAUUAAUUCGAUGCAACGCGAAAAACCUUACCUACCCUUGACAUGUACGGAAUCCUGAAGAGAUUUAGGAGUGCUCGAAAGAGAGCCGUAACACAGGUGCUGCACGGUUGUCGUCAGCU